rnacentral:rRNA from 1 species
GACGAACGCUGGCGGCGUGCCUAACACAUGCAAGUCGAGCGAGGAACUUCGGUUCCUAGCGGCGGACGGGUGAGUAACACGUGGGUAACCUGGCUCAUAGAGGGGGAUAGCCUCCCGAAAGGGAGAUUAAUACCGCAUAAGAAGCGAAAGUCGCAUGGCUUUAGCUUUAAAGGAGUAAUCCGCUAUGAGAUGGGCCCGCGGCGCAUUAGCUAGUUGGUGAGGUAACGGCUCACCAAGGCGACGAUGCGUAGCCGACCUGAGAGGGUGAUCGGCCACAUUGGAACUGAGACACGGUCCAGACUCCUACGGGAGGCAGCAGUGGGGAAUAUUGCACAAUGGGCGAAAGCCUGAUGCAGCAACGCCGCGUGAGUGAUGACGGCCUUCGGGUUGUAAAGCUCUGUCUUUGGGGACGAUAAUGACGGUACCCAAGGAGGAAGCCACGGCUAACUACGUGCCAGCAGCCGCGGUAAGAC